rnacentral:rRNA from 1 species
CGGCACCUAUCUUCGGAUAGAGGCGAGUGGCGAACGGCUGAGUAACACGUGGAGAACCUGCCCCCUCCCCCGGGAUAGCCGCCCGAAAGGACGGGUAAUACCGGAUACCCCGGGGUGCCGCAUGGCACCCCGGCUAAAGCCCCGACGGGAGGGGAUGGCUCCGCGGCCCAUCAGGUAGACGGCGGGGUGACGGCCCACCGUGCCGACAACGGGUAGCCGGGUUGAGAGACCGACCGGCCAGAUUGGGACUGAGACACGGCCCAG